CAAUCAAUCAUACAUAUUAAUAAAUAUGUAUAUCAUCGGCUAUUUUAUUAGCUAAUCACUAGCAAGUAUUUACACAUCAUUCAUUGUUCAUAUUAUACCAAAAGUAGCAAGUUUCUAUACAUGCCAUACCCAAAACAAAACGUCUAGUUAUACCGAGUUAUUUCUUUGAUAGUGUGAUCGGCCUUCGACGUUUCCUUCGAUCCCCGAGUGACUAGAUAAGUACUAUAAGAAGAAGAAAAUAAAGAGAUUAAGCACUAGGCUUAGUAAGCUUACAAGCAAAUAAAUCACAACAUUCAACAUAAUGGAUAAUUAUGCAUAAUAUCAUCUAACAUCAUAAAUUUCUUUACUUCUCAAUUUGUAUCUUCUUCUUUAUUCCCUUACCUUCUUUCUUACCUGACCUUUCCUUUUUCAUAAGUAUAAUCUACUUUUCCUUUGCUGUUAAUUCACUGUAAUUUAACUCGUAUCCUGACCCGUUGAACCACUCGGAAUACUAAGGAUACUAGGGUCGUUCCUGUCUAUCAAUAUCCUGCCAAUGCCAUGUCUUUGACAUGGACUUACAUGAAUUAUUCCUGUCUCCAAUGCCAUAUAUAAUAUGGACUUACAUGGCUCAAUCCUGUCUCCAAAGCCAUAUUUCUAAUAUGGACUUACAUGGCUCAUUUCUGUUCUGUCCUGUCAACUCUAAUAUCCUAACAUUCCUAGGGUUCAACCGGGGCUUUCUAACACUUUUCCUCUGUCACUCCACCUUAAAUUCGACUUUACAUAUUUUCAUAACAUAAAUAUAUAAAUGCUGGAAAUUGACAAUAAUAAUGUAAAAUAAAAGAAUAUUGCAUUUAUUUACUGUAACUUACCUUGAUACAAAAUGUGACUAAACUUUACAAUUUAGUCCUUUACUUUUUCUUUUCCCCGAUCUACUCCCGAAUUUCGUUCUUCUUGAUCUAUAAUAGCAAAUUUAACUUAUUUAAUAUUCACAUUUAUUAAAACAGUCCUUGACCCAAACUUUUGCAAAAUUAUAUUUUUACCCCUAAACUUUCACAUAUUUGCACUUUUUCCCCAAGGAUCGUAAAUUAAACUUCAUCCUAUUUUCUUAUGUUUUAUGACAUGCUGAUCAUUUUUCCCUUCUAUGGCAAUAUCAAAAUCACACUCUAACAUAUACUUAUGACUAUUGAUAUUUUUUUCCAAUUUAAGCCCUUUUACUCGUUUUCACUUAAAACCGAGUAGCAUAAGUUGUUUAACAUAAUUUAAAACCUCAUAUUCUAUCAUAAAACACCAAAAUACACAAAUUUCAGCCAUGGGUAUUUUUCCAAAUAUGAACCCUAGGCUGAAUUAUUGCUAGAAUAAGCUUAAUCAAGUUACCGGGACUCCAAAAACGUAAAGAUCAUUAAAAACGGGGCUUGGAAUCACUUACUAUGAAGCUUGAAAGUUGAAGAAACCCCAGCUAUGGAGGAGAGCAAAAAUUGG
rnacentral:lncRNA from 1 species